rnacentral:tRNA from 1 species
GUACCGUUAGCUUAGUUGGUAGUGCGUCUGCCUUGUAAGCGCUAGGCCGCGGGUUCGAUUCCCGCCCGGGGCG